UACAGAGGUCUCAAGCGUUGUUCGGAUUUAUUGGGCGUAAAGCGUGCGUAGGCGGCGGGGUAAGUGAGGUGUGAAAUCCCGGAGCUUAACUCCGGAACUGCACUUUAUACUGCCUUGCUCGAGGGCUGGAGAGGAGACUGGAAUUUACGGUGUAGCGGUGAAAUGCGUAGAUAUCGUAAGGAAGACCAGUGGCGAAGGCGGGUCUCUGGACAGUUCCUGACGCUGAGGCACGAAGGCCAGGGGAGCAAACGGG
rnacentral:rRNA from 1 species